CUGGUUGAUCCUGCCGGACCCUACUGCUAUCGGGAUGGGGCUAAGACAUGUUAGUCGCCGCCCUUCUAGCCAUGUUGGAGGCGCGGCAUACCGCUCAGUAGCACGUGGCUAACCUACCCUUGGGACGGAAACAUCCCCGGGAAACUGGGGCUAAUUUUCGAUAGGCGAAGCUCCCUGGAAUGGGUUUUCACCUAAAGGGCGCUUAGAUCAUGCUUCUAGGCGUUGCCCAAGGACGGGGCCGCGGCCGAUCAGGUUGUUGGUGAGGUAACGGCUCACCAAGCCUAUAACCGGUGCGGGCCGUGGGAGCGGAAGCCCGGAGAUGGGCACUGAGACAAGGGCCCAGGCCNUACGGGGCGCAGCAGUCGCGCAAACUUCACAAUAAGCGAAAGCUUGAUGGGGCCAUCCCGAGUGCCAUCCGCUGAGGAUGGCUUUUACCCAGUAUAGAUAGCUGGGGGAAUAAGGAGAGGGCAAGUCUGGUGUCAGCCGCCGCGGUAAUACCAGCUCUCCGAGUGGUGGGGAUGUUUAUUGGGCCUAAAGCAUCCGUAGCUCGCUGAACAAGUCCCCUGUUAAACCCAACGAUUUAAUCGUUGGUCUGCGGGGGAUACUGCUCGGCUAGGGGGCGGGAGAGGCUGUCGGUAUUCUCGGGGUAGGGGUGAAAUCCUAUAAUCCCGGGAGGACCACCAGUGGCGAAGGCUGUCAGCUAGAACGCGCCCGACGGUGAGGGAUGAAAGCUGGGGGAGCGAACCGGAUUAGAUACCCGGGUAGUCCCAGCUGUAAACGAUGCAGGCUAGGUGUUUGGGCGGCUACGUGCCGCUCUAGUGCCGCAGGGAAGCUGUUAAGCCUGCCGCCUGGGGAGUACGCCGCAAGGCUGAAACUUAAAGGAAUUGGCGGGGGAGCACCACAAGGGGUGAAGCUUGCGGUUUAAUUGGAUUCAACACCGGA
rnacentral:rRNA from 1 species